CAAUAUUGUCUCCAUAGCUUGGUUAGCAACACUUUUGUUUGAUUUAACCAAAAUCUUUCCAAGUGAAGAUUCUUUCUACUGAGAUUUGAAGGACUGGGUCAAAUGUGAAAGUGGUCACAAAAACAAGCAUGUUUUUAAAAGGCUUUACAUUGUGCUACAUUUUGUUCACUCUUUGCAGCUGCAGUGUUAUCUGGCUGAUUUCUUCAAUAGUUUGUAAUUUAGAAGCUUUUUCUUUUUCUUUUUUUAAGAACAACAUACAGAAGAAAUAUUCAGAGAAAUAAGAAAAAAUGCUGGAAGAACUUCUCAAGAUCAAAGCCCAGGAAGAUAAAAAAGAGGCUGCAGUUAUUCUUCUGUGUACAGGAAGAGCACAGUUUCCUCUCAGAAUAUUUAGUUUAAGUUUCAGCUCUCAGCAGACGCCAACUUCAGCACCCAAGAUGAAGACCUUCUUCCCAAAAUUUGCCAUCAAACAAUACAGCACGUAUGUCGCAAUGAUUGUGAUUUUUGUUCACAAUUAUGUGCUUGACGAGGAUUUAAACUGCACUUGCGAUGCUGAUAUAACAACCUGCUCUUUCUACUUGGUUCUACCUUUUUUAAUUUUAUUUUCUUUACAACUCUGGACAGACGAGCCAUUCAAGAGAGUCUGGAAAUACACAUGUCCUACAUGCACAUGUUGUUGUUGUUUUUGCAAAUGCAGGUGCAAACUUUUCUUGGUUUUGUGUUUACAAAUUAUGAAGGCAGUUUGCAUUGGUCUGCUUUGGGUGUUGUCCGUGUUCAUCGAUGGAGACUGGUUUGUUUGCUGUUGCAAUACGUAUAAAGAACAUCCACAGUUAGGCUGCAAAGACAAAGAAAACAUUACAGCUGAGGAACGAGUCCUGAUUGCGAAGCUGAAAAACAAAUCCAUGCUUAUUGGCUUGGGUGCACUCUUGGUUGGCUUUGUUUUUGUUACCUUUGUGUUACCACUUGGAUGGAAGAAAUGCUGUGAAGAGAGAGAGAAUUGCCCAAGUUGCUGCGACAGAAAACUUCUCUACGACCAAAUGAUUUUGGAAGAGGAAGAAAAUGUACUCACAGAGAUGAUAAGAAAAGCAGCAAAAGAUAAGCUGACCGAAGAAAUGCAGAAGAAACUUGGCAGUGGACAAUGGGGGGAAUGUUUUGAUGUUGCUGAAAAGCUGAUUGAAAACAAAACUCCACAGAAGGAGGACAAACUAAUGGAGGAGUCUGAUUCAGAAAAACGCACAACAGAAAUGUGAGGAAAUUAUCGUCACUGCGACCGUCUUAUCAGAAUUCAGAAGUUUCAUUUUCAGUUUAUCAGAAAAAAAAUAUGUCUGUACGUCACAAGUGAAAGGAAACUAUAGUAAGAUUGUUAUGUUAUGCUUCUAAAUACCAUGUUAUGGUGAUACAUGUAUGUUUCAUAUAUUUCAAAGUUUUUUUUUUUAUGUCACAUGAGGGUAGAUUUUUAAUGGUGCUAUUUUUACGCUAUGAUAUUGUUUGAAUUUCACAAAUGUGAGCAUGUUAUAAGGAGCUUCUACAGAAAGCCUUAGAGUCAUUGUGCAUCACUUGGUAGCUGACAGCUUGUCUCUAUCUUGUAGCCUUUGGUUGGCUUGGGAACACUUUCCCUUUAUAUUUGGAUCAGCUGUAGUCUUCACUCUCCCUCGUGGCCACUUUAUCACUCUGUUAGUUUAGUUUAACUUUUGACCUGCUGGCUUCACACUGACGUUGGCUAUUUUGUUUCUAGUUGCUUUAUGUGUGACCGUCUCUUUAAGCUCAAAUUUUACAAGUAGCCUAUUAAAGACAUUAAUAAGAUAGUUUUCACUGUUCCUGUAACAUUUAAUGCCACCUGUGUAUAAACAACAUGCUCAAAGAAGCUGUGAAGUUUCAGGUUUGACAGAAAUCAUAAAAAUGAAGCUUUUGGGUCUAGAAAGAGAAAAACAGAGAUUUGGAUUUUAAUGUGCUAAGCUGAUAUUUUAAUAAAUACUUUCAAAUGAAAUGCACAAUUUGAACUGUAAUAUGUGUUUCAGUAAAAAUGAAUAAAAAAAACAUGAG
ensembl:lncRNA